ACCCGGUGAUCUAGCCAUGGGCAGGUUGAAGGUUGGGUAACACUAACUGGAGGACCGAACCGACUAAUGUUGAAAAAUUAGCGGAUGACUUGUGGCUGGGGGUGAAAGGCCAAUCAAACCGGGAGAUAGCUGGUUCUCCCCGAAAGCUAUUUAGGUAGCGCCUCGUGAAUUCAUCUCCGGGGGUAGAGCACUGUUUCGGCAAGGGGGUCAUCCCGACUUACCAACCCGAUGCAAACUGCGAAUACCGGAGAAUGUUAUCACGGGAGACACACGGCGGGUGCUAACGUCCGUCGUGAAGAGGGAAACAACCCAGACCGCCAGCUAAGGUCCCAAAGUCAUGGUUAAGUGGGAAACGAUGUGGGAAGGCCCAGACAGCCAGGAUGUUGGCUUAGAAGCAGCCAUCAUUUAAAGAAAGCGUAAUAGCUCACUGGUCGAGUCGGCCUGCGCGGAAGAUGUAACGGGGCUAAACCAUGCACCGAAGCUGCGGCAGCGACGCUUAUGCGUUGUUGGGUAGGGGAGCGUUCUGUAAGCCUGUGAAGGUGUGCUGUGAGGCAUGCUGGAGGUAUCAGAAGUGCGAAUGCUGACAUAAGUAACGAUAAAGCGGGUGAAAAGCCCGCUCGCCGGAAGACCAAGGGUUCCUGUCCAACGUUAAUCGGGGCAGGGUGAGUCGACCCCUAAGGCGAGGCCGAAAGGCGUAGUCGAUGGGAAACAGGUUAAUAUUCCUGUACUUGGUGUUACUGCGAAGGGGGGACGGAGAAGGCUAUGUUGGCCGGGCGACGGUUGUCCCGGUUUAAGCGUGUAGGCUGGUUUUCCAGGCAAAUCCGGAAAAUCAAGGCUGAGGCGUGAUGACGAGGCACUACGGUGCUGAAGCAACAAAUGCCCUGCUUCCAGGAAAAGCCUCUAAGCAUCAGGUAACAUCAAAUCGUACCCCAAACCGACACAGGUGGUCAGGUAGAGAAUACCAAGGCGCUUGAGAGAACUCGGGUGAAGGAACUAGGCAAAAUGGUGCCGUAACUUCGGGAGAAGGCACGCUGAUAUGUAGGUGAAGUCCCUCGCGGAUGGAGCUGAAAUCAGUCGAAGAUACCAGCUGGCUGCAACUGUUUAUUAAAAACACAGCACUGUGCAAACACGAAAGUGGACGUAUACGGUGUGACGCCUGCCCGGUGCCGGAAGGUUAAUUGAUGGGGUCAGCGCAAGCGAAGCUCUUGAUCGAAGCCCCGGUAAACGGCGGCCGUAACUAUAACGGUCCUAAGGUAGCGAAAUUCCUUGUCGGGUAAGUUCCGACCUGCACGAAUGGCGUAAUGAUGGCCAGGCUGUCUCCACCCGAGACUCAGUGAAAUUGAACUCGCUGUGAAGAUGCAGUGUACCCGCGGCAAGACGGAAAGACCCCGUGAACCUUUACUAUAGCUUGACACUGAACAUUGAGCCUUGAUGUGUAGGAUAGGUGGGAGGCUUUGAAGUGUGGACGCCAGUCUGCAUGGAGCCGACCUUGAAAUACCACCCUUUAAUGUUUGAUGUUCUAACGUUGACCCGUGAUCCGGGUUGCGGACAGUGUCUGGUGGGUAGUUUGACUGGGGCGGUCUCCUCCUAAAGAGUAACGGAGGAGCACGAAGGUUGGCUAAUCCUGGUCGGACAUCAGGAGGUUAGUGCAAUGGCAUAAGCCAGCUUGACUGCGAGCGUGACGGCGCGAGCAGGUGCGAAAGCAGGUCAUAGUGAUCCGGUGGUUCUGAAUGGAAGGGCCAUCGCUCAACGGAUAAAAGGUACUCCGGGGAUAACAGGCUGAUACCGCCCAAGAGUUCAUAUCGACGGCGGUGUUUGGCACCUCGAUGUCGGCUCAUCACAUCCUGGGGCUGAAGUAGGUCCCAAGGGUAUGGCUGUUCGCCAUUUAAAGUGGUACGCGAGCUGGGUUUAGAACGUCGUGAGACAGUUCGGUCCCUAUCUGCCGUGGGCGCUGGAGAACUGAGGGGGGCUGCUCCUAGUACGAGAGGACCGGAGUGGACGCAUCACUGGUGUUCGGGUUGUCAUGCCAAUGGCACUGCCCGGUAGCUAAAUGCGGAAGAGAUAAGUGCUGAAAGCAUCUAAGCACGAAACUUGCC
rnacentral:rRNA from 1 species